UGAUUCAGGUUUGUAUGCAAAC
rnacentral:miRNA from 1 species